UACGGGGGGGGCAAGCGUUGUUCGGAAUUACUGGGCGUAAAGGGCUCGUAGGCGGCCAACUAAGUCAGACGUGAAAUCCCUCGGCUUAACCGGGGAACUGCGUCUGAUACUGGAUGGCUUGAGUUUGGGAGAGGAUGCGGAAUUCCAGGUGUAGCGGUGAAAUGCGUAGAUAUCUGGAGGAACACCGGUGGCGAAGGCGGCAUCCUGGACCAACACUGACGCUGAGUGAGCGAAAGCCAGGGGAGCAAACGGG
rnacentral:rRNA from 1 species